rnacentral:rRNA from 1 species
AACGAACGCUGGCGGCAUGCCUAACACAUGCAAGUCGAACGAGACCUUCGGGUCUAGUGGCGCACGGGUGCGUAACGCGUGGGAACCUGCCCUUAGGUUCGGAAUAACUCCCCGAAAGGGGUGCUAAUACCGGAUAAUUUCUUCGGACCAAAGAUUUAUCGCCUCUGGAUGGGCCCGCGUUGGAUUAGCUAGUUGGUAGGGUAAAAGCCUACCAAGGCGACGAUCCAUAGCUGGUCUGAGAGGAUGAUCAGCCACACUGGGACUGAGACACGGCCCAGACUCCUACGGGAGGCAGCAGUGGGGAAUAAUGGACAAUGGGCGAAAGCCUGAGCCAGCAAUGCCGCGUGAGUGAUGAAGGCCUUAGGGUUGUAAAGCUCUUUUACCCGGGAUGAUAAUGACAGUACCGGGAGAAUAAGCUCCGGCUAACUCCGU